rnacentral:lncRNA from 1 species
CUAUAUAAAAUUAUACAAGGUUAUGCAUAGAUUCUGGUAUUGGAACAUGGAUCGAAUACUUGCCUAUCCAUAUCCAUAUUUAUUUUUCUUCGAUGAAUAUAAAUAUGAAUACGGUAUUGUUAUGGGUACAUCCUAGCCUCAGUGUUGUGCAACUUCGGAUGACACCGAACUAACCAGAGGUCGUACCUCGACUAUAACUGAAGACAAAGG